rnacentral:tRNA from 2 species
AUAAAUAUAACCUAAUGGUUAAGGUAAAGAAUUGUGAUUUCUUUAAUAUGAGUUCAAAUCUCAUUAUUUAUC